rnacentral:rRNA from 1 species
CCUACGGGAGGCAGCAGUGGGGGAUAUUGCACAAUGGGGGGAACCCUGAUGCAGCGACGCCGCGUGGGUGAAGAAGCGCCUCGGCGCGUAAAGCCCUGUCAUCAGGGACGAAAAUGACGGUACCUGAAGAAGAAGCCCCGGCUAACUACGUGCCAGCAGCCGCGGUAAUACGUAGGUGGCAAGCGUUGUCCGGAUUUACUGGGUGUAAGGGGGGCGCAGGCGGCGUUGCAAGCGAGGAGUGAAAUCCCGGGGCCCAACCCCGGGACUGCUCUUGGAACUGGGUGGCUGGAGUGCAGGAGGGGCAGGCGGAAUUCCGGGUGUAGCGGUGAAAUGCGUAGAGAUCAGGAGGAACACCGGUGGCGAAGGCGGCCUGCUGGACUGCAACUGACGUUGAGGCCCGAAAGCGUGGGGAGCAAACAGGAUUAGAUACCCCGGUAGUC